CUGGAGGUAUCAGAAGUGCGAAUGCUGACAUAAGUAACGAUAAAGCGGGUGAAAAGCCCGCUCGCCGGAAGACCAAGGGUUCCUGUCCAACGUUAAUCGGGGCAGGGUGAGUCGACCCCUAAGGCGAGGCCGAAAGGCGUAGUCGAUGGGAAACAGGUUAAUAUUCCUGUACUUGGUGUUACUGCGAAGGGGGGACGGAGAAGGCUAUGUUGGCCGGGCGACGGUUGUCCCGGUUUAAGCGUGUAGGCUGGUUUUCCAG
rnacentral:rRNA from 1 species